ACGACGCUGGCGGCGUGCCUAAUACAUGCAAGUCGAACGGUCUUUUCUAUGGAAGCUUGCUUCCACUGAGAAGAUAGUGGCGAACGGGUGAGUAACACGUGGGUAACCUGCCCAUAAGAGGGGGAUAACAUCCGGAAACGGGUGCUAAUACCGCAUAGUUUUUCUUGAUCGCAUGAUUGAGAAAGGAAAGACGGCCUUUGUGCUGUCGCUUAUGGAUGGACCCGCGGCGUAUUAGUUAGUUGGUGAGGUAACGGCUCACCAAGACGAUGAUACGUAGCCGACCUGAGAGGGUGAUCGGCCACAUUGGGACUGAGACACGGCCCAAACUCCUACGGGAGGCAGCAGUAGGGAAUCUUCCGCAAUGGACGAAAGUCUGACGGAGCAACGCCGCGUGAGUGAAGAAGGUUUUUCCGGAUCGUAAAACUCUGUUGUCAGAGAAGAACAAGUUGGAGAGUAACUGCUCCAGCCUUGACGGUAUCUGACCAGAAAGCCACGGCUAACUACGUGCCAGCAGCUGC
rnacentral:rRNA from 1 species